rnacentral:ncRNA from 2 species
AACUAAUGUGAUCGCGACGGUUCUCCUUCGGGAGACAAUAGGGAAUACGGUGCGGGGGAUGACCCCCCAGGCCGUGGCUGCCCCCGCAACUGUAAGCGGUGAGCCUUCGCCAAAUUGCCACUGAGCCUGCGGGCUUGGGAAGGCGGCGACAGGCAACGACCCGCGAGCCAGGAGACCUGCCGUCAGUCGUGGUCACAC